CUGACCUCCGAUCAGUGUGUUCUGAUCUCAUCAUCCUUCAGUUCAUGAACAAACAUUCUAUUUUCACUUUUAGGAUAUACACAGAGGAUUAUUUGGUGCCAGUCAGACUGUGAGGACUGCUCACAAAAACACUGCUGAUUUCUUUCACCUGAAUUCAUCUCAUCACUUUUGCAGACACCAUGGGUGCUCGACAGUCCGCCAUUCAUAUUACCAACAAGACUGAGGGCUACACCCUUCGUAACCCCAGUCUGCAUCUUGUUAGCGGACUCUGCCAGAUUCCUUUGCCAACAAAACUUGAGCCUUCUGAAUCUGGCAACGCUCUGUUCUCUAAGAUUGGUGGCACAGCGUGUGGAUCUGUUGGAGUCUUCACCUACGAUCUCUACAAUCCAGCUAGAGACAGAGCUGAUAAGAAAAUAGCCGUCAUGUUCUCUGUUCCUUUUGACUACGGCCGGUACUCUAACUGGUUUGCAGUCGGAGCUUUUGACAGGGAAACAAACUGUGAUAAUGAUCUUUAUCACAAGAUGUAUUACAGGGAUGAGAGUAGAUUUGUUAGAAGAAAAGCUGAUGGUCAUGAUCUGAAACACAGAGAUGAUGAUGUUGUUGUUACAUUGGGCAUGACAAACUCCAGCGUUGCAACACUGAAAGUUGGUGUACACAACAGGGAGCAAAUCUAAUUAUUAAAAUGAGAGGUUAAAAUGAAAGGUCUUACUGUUUUUAGGGCAGAUCUAGCAAAAUGACUUGAUCACCCAUCAUCUGUAUUAUCUGGAUUUACUCACCCCAAGGCUGAUGAUCAGGAUAUCAGCUGGUUAAGGGCCCCAGGGCUUCCCUUUCUUCUACAGAAAAUCAUCCUUAUAACAUCUAGACCAAAGAUAUGCCAGUAAAACACAACACUGUUGUAAAAGGACAUCUGAUUAAGGCUGCAGCUGUUUGAGAUUGUAAACCAGCUUCACAGUACAGAAAAAUCAGGUUAAUCCUCUGGAGUUAAAACCUUUAAAAAUUAGCUUUGACAUUGAAUCACUAAAUAUCAGCUAAAGCAGGCAUAACAUGGUCACAUAGAUGGGAUGUUGGAUAAUUGAUCAAAUCAGACUGAACCUCUCCACACAGCAACAUCUCCAGUGUUUAAUUAACACUGGAGAGAGUGUAUAUGUGUCCACUCCUCUGAGUGUUAAAUAUAACACUGUUGAUUGUUGAGCAGUGCUGAUUUUCUAACACUGGAAAAUAACUCAAAAUGUUAGAAAUAUUCCAGUGUUAGAAAAUCAGCACUGCUCAGUGUUAGUCAUUGUAAAUCUUCAGAACUGGUUACUUUUAAAAAUAUAACACUCUCAAAAGUGUUCAUUUAACACUCAACAGUGUUAUAUUUAACACUCAGAGGAGUGGACACAUAUACACACUCUAUAGUGUUAAUUUAACACUGGAGAUUUUGCUGAGCACCAAAUAUUAUUGAAAUCCUCACUAAACUGUGAGGGUGUAGUGGAAGAUUUUUGGCAUUUAAUAAUCUUUUACUGUUUCUGCUGGAAAUACUUUCUGAGAAAUACUGAUUUUAUGUUUCCUGUGCAUAACUUUAAACAAAUGAAUAAAGAAAUAAACCAGACUUUAUUGAAACCGUCUCUUUGCUUUAUUCACUGACAUUUCUUCCACUUUAUUGAAUUUUGUGAAAAAUGUGUAAUUCUUUCAACAAUAUAAAUCGAAUUUUGACAGACAUGUUCACAGUAUUGCUGUAUGGAAAGAUCAGUCUUGGUCUUCCUUGGACUCUU